CGCCGCCGAACAUCAUAAUCUCGUAUAAUGCCGGGAAUAGGGCCCGGAAGUUUCUACCCGAGAACCGUAAAUUUUCGGACUACGAGCGAAUACGUGAUGAAG
rfam:Paenibacillus sp. oral taxon 786 str. D14 genomic scaffold supercont1.5, whole genome shotgun sequence.